rnacentral:tRNA from 1 species
UUCCCAUGCCGGGAAUCGAACCCGGGCCGCCUGGGUGAAAGCCAGGUAUCCUAACCACUAGACCACAUGGGA